rnacentral:lncRNA from 1 species
AUGCUCAUCCCAGGCUGCUGGAGUAUCUUGAAGAUAAAGUUGAGACCUUAAACUUGAUUUUUGAAAAUGAACUUGAUGUUGUGUAACUAAGUCUCAUUGUGCCAUGAGGUCAACUGGAGCAAGACUGUAAUGGAAAAUUACUUCAUGUGUUAAAUAAAUCAGACUAUUCCACAAAAGCAAAAAAAAUUUAAGGUUUUAGCAGCAGAAAAGGUGGGGGAGAUGCACUGUAAGUAAGAGAGGAGUAUGACUGCUCAGAGCUCCGGUAUGAAACUGCAGAAAAACCCGAGUCUCUCUGGAUUAAGAAGUGUGAGCAACAAGGCUGAUGUCGUGGUGGGAGUCUGCUAUAGACCACCAGACCAAGGGGAUGAGGUGGACGAGGCUUUCUUCCGGCAACUAGCAGAAGUUACUAGAUCGCAGGCCCUGGUUCUCUUGGGAGACUUUAAUCACCCUGAUAUCUGCUGGGAGAUCAAUACAGCGAUGCACAGACAAUCCAGGAAGUUUUUGAAAAGUGUAGGGGACAAUUUCCUGGUGCAAGUGCUGGAGGAACCAACUAGGGGCAGAGCUCUUCUUGACCUGCUGCUCACAAACCGGGAAGAAUUAGUAGGGGUAGCAAAAGUGGAUGGGAACCUAGGAGGCAGUGACCAUGAGAUGGUCAAAUUCAGGAUCCUGACACAAGGAAGAAAGGAAAGCAGCAGAAUACGGACCAUGGACUUCAGAAAAGCAGACUUUGACUCCCUCAGGGAACUGAUGGGCAGGAUCCCCUGGGAGAAUAACAUGAGGGGGAAAGGAGUCCAGGAGAGCUGGCUGUAUUUUAAAGAAUCCUUAUUGAGGUUGCAGGAACAAACCAUCCCGAUGUGUAGAAAGAAUUGUAAAUAUGGCAGGCAACCAGCUUGGCUUAACAGUGAAAUCCUUGCCAAUCUUAAACACAAAAAAGCAGCUUACAAGAAGUGGAAGAUUGGACAAAUGACCAGGGAGGAGUAUAAAAAUAUUGCUCAGGCAUGCAGGAGUGAAAUCAGGAAGGCCAAGUCACACUUGGAGUUGCAGCUAGAAAGAGAUGUUAAGAGUAACAAGAAGGGUUUCUUCAGGUAUGUUAGCAACAAGAAAAAAGUCAAAGAAAGUGUGGGCCCCUUACUGAAUGAGGGAGGCAACCUAGUGACAGAGGAUGUGGAAAAAACUAAUGUACUCAAUGAUUUUUUUGCCUCUGUCUUCACGAACAAGGUCAGCUCCCAGACUGCUGCAUUGGGCAGCACAGUAUGGGGAGAAGGUGACCAGCCCGCUGUGGACAAAGAAGUGGUUCGGGACUAUUUAGAAAAACUGGAUGAGCACAAGUCCAUGGGGCCAGAUGCGCUGCAUCCGAGGGUGCUAAAGGAGUUGGCGGAUGUGAUUGCGGAGCCAUUGGCCAUUAUUUUUGAAAACUCAUGGUGAUCGGGGGAGGUCCCGGAUGACUGGAAAAAGGCUAAUGNNNNNNNNNNNNNNNNNNNNNNNNNNNNNNNNNNNNNNNNNNNNNNNNNNNNNNNNNNNNNNN